CGGCAGCUACGUGGUAGGGGCCGCGCAAGGACCAGGUUGUGAGCAAGAGUGUGCGCAGAAGGCUGCGUGCGGCAGGGCGUGCUGGGUUGUUCUGCGCCCUGAGCCGGAACGCAGGCACUGUCGCCCGUUUUGGCAAUGAAUAACAUUUGUGGAGUGGUUAGUGAUGCCCGGCGCUGGCUCUCACAAAAACCUGUGAUUCUGCAGAUGAGGAAACUGGAGCCCUGAGAGGUUAAACAACUUGCUUAAAAUGUGCACAGCUGGCCCCAUCACUGGCUGUGGAUAUCUUUCACAACAAGAGGAGGUAACUGUGGACUGCAGGCCAAACCCAACCUGUUCUUAUACAAGCUGCAAGCUAAGAAGAGUUUUUAUAUUUUUCAAUAGUUAAAAAAAAGUCAAAGAAAACAACAUUUUGUGAUGUGAAAGUCAUACAGAAUUCAGAUCCUAAUGUUCAUAAAUAAAGUUUUAUUUGGAUCCA